UACAGAGGCCCCAAGCGUUACUGAGAAUCACUGGGUUUAAAGGGUGCGUAGGUGGCGCGUUAAGUUCGUUGUGAAAUCCCUGGGCUCAACCCAGGAAUUGCUUCGAAUACUGGCGUGCUUGAGGCUAGUAGGGGUCACUGGAACUGACGGUGGAGCGGUGAAAUGCGUAGAUAUCGUCAGGAACGCCGAUGGUGAAGACAGGUGACUGGGCUAGUUCCGACACUGAGGCACGAAAGCGUGGGGAGCGAACGGG
rnacentral:rRNA from 1 species